AAAGCGACAGAAACUGUCCAAAAAUAUAGUACACAAAAAUAAACAACCAUGACAGAGGAACUAUUAAAAAAAGUAUAUAAGGUGCCAUUAAUGUUUACAGUAAUAUUGCAAUAUACACAGUGAAGUGCAACAGAAUGUGGAAAUAACCUUUUAAAUAAAAUACUAUAGACACACACAUCCGUAAUUCCUCAUUAUAUAAUUUUACCUCAGAUGGCAUGUUCAAAACAAUGGAUAUGUGUACUCAGUUUUGCCGCUCUGUUUUUUUUUUUUUUUUUUUUUUUUUUUAUUAUUAGAAUUUUUAUUACUAUGUUCUUGUUGUAUUUGUAUUGUAUAUGUGAACUGGAAGCUUCAGCACCAAGUAAAAUUCCUUGUGUGUGCAAGCACACUUGCCAAUAAAGCUCUUUCUUUUAUUAUUUCUUUGUCGUUUUCAACAUUUUUACAUAUUAACUUGUGCCAAGUUUUCGCAUGCGUUUUAAGGACGUGGAAUGUCACACACGACGUCAAAACACGUGACAAUACCGCGUAACUCAUAUGACACACAUGCGCUGUCAACAUGUUAUGGCGCAUGCGUUUUAAAGACAUGCAAUACGUAACAUACGUGACGUCAAAAUACGUGACGUCACCGCGCUACAGUCUGCAGCGAGGGGUAUCUCGUUAGUGCUGGUGGCCGUUAGAGUUGCCAUGGCAACCGGGAAAACAUUCAAGCUGCUGGAGAGGACAGUGUCACGUUUCUCCGUGUUUCUCGUCAGUUUUAUAGCAAUGAAGUUCAACAACUGCGUCAGAUUGGUUAAGUACCAUUACCCACAGUCUACCUUAAGUACUUUAUGUUAAUAUUUUUACCUCUGUGAUUGAACGUCUGAAAUAUAUGUUGGCAAAAUGUUACGCUAGCAUAGCAUAUGUUUUUAAUGAUACUGAGUGCAAAACGUCUUGAAUGCUUUUAUUUUAUGUUUCGCUGUAGGCGAUAUGUUUUUAUUUAUAGUUUGGGUGUAUUUCAUUAUUUUUAUUUGGAUUUUUGUUCAUGUUCUGCGUGUUUUUCAAAAUAAAUGAAUUGAAUUCAUUUUGAGCUCUGCAUUCAUUGUUCACAGCUGUUGGAAUAGCCUUUAAAUUAGUUUGGGCAAAUGAGGACAUAAAUUAGGUUAAACUACUGCAUGUCUGCCAAUAGAAAAAUAAAUAAAUAUAAAAAUUACCAACUGAUUAUCAACACACAACCAUUGAUACACAACGUUGCCACGACGUCGCAGUUACUAACUGGCAACGUCACAAAGUUACGUUGUGGCAACGUAUCCGGGAAUUUCACUUUUCCGGUUGCCACAACGUAACUAGUUACGUCGCCACGACGAAAGUUUGGUCACCAAAUUACGUUGCAGUUAUGUAACAGUCACGUAUUUUGGUUAGCUGGGUUACCUUCUAUGUUACAUUAUGGCCCCGUAGAAACAGUUUUUGUAAAAAUAGGCUAACGAUUGCGUCAUAACCACUCGACUCUCUGUCGCACAGUAGAGAAAUUACCGUACAGACAGGAGGAGAAGCUCGCAGGCAAUCGGGGAGACGUCAAGAGAGAAGCCCAUAGAUAUAGAGUCCAUAAAAGCAACGGGACAAAAUAUUUCAACAACGUUUUUGGGGAAUUGGAAAUAAUUCGAUCUACGCUUGAAGAUGAAUGUGAUCCCUUUCAUCCUGGUCGGAAGCCAUCUACAAAAUGUCAUAGCCUACAUAACGUGAAAUAAAGAAAAAAGUUUUUUGUUCAAGUGUUUUUGACCAUGAUUUAUUAGCCAAAACUGCAUGAUUUAACACCUAGCUCA